GAAGGACUGGAAGAGCAAACACAGGAUGCCUUAACCCUUCAGAGCACAGCAACGUGCUACCACAGCUCCUCUCUGCUGAGGAUUUGAUAUACAACCUUUAGGCUCUAUUCAACUUUACUUCCUGCCACCAAAAUACACAAAUGGGGCGGUAGAAACAACUUUGACUAAAUGCAUGGACCUCAGUUCAAAGUAACCACUGAGCGGCGCUGGAACCAUCGCAGAGAGGGUGAUAGGAUGCGGACAUGAUGCUGCUGGGAUCCUACCAUUGCCUCUGGGUCAGAGAAGGUGCUGUUGAGGUCCACCGUCUCCAACUGGGCUGGAGGGCUGCAGAGAAAAGCCCAUCAGAGCAAACGAUGAGGUCAGCUUCCGAACCACAGGUUUCCUCUACUGUACAGUGAAGCUGUGUGCAUUACU